rnacentral:rRNA from 1 species
GAUGAACGCUAGCUACAGGCCUAACACAUGCAAGUCGAGGGACCGGCGCACGGGUGAGUAACACGUAUCCCACCUGCCCUUUACUCGGGGAUAGCCUUUCGAAGGAAAGAUUAAUACCUGAUAUAAAGGAUGGGGAUGCGUUCCAUUAGGUUGUUGGUGAGGUAACGGCCCACCAAGCCUUCGAUGGAUAGGGGUUCUGAGAGGAAGGUCCCCCGCAGUGGAACUGAGGCCCGGUCCAAACUCCUACGGGAGGCAGCAGUGAGGUAUAUUGGUCAAUGGGCGCUAGCCUGAACCAGCCACGUAGCGUGAAGGAGGAAUGCUUAUGGGUCGUAAACUUCUUUUAUAUAAGAAUAUGUAUUAUAUGAAUAAGGAUCGGCUAACUCCGUGCCAGCAGCCGCGGUAAUAC